rnacentral:lncRNA from 1 species
AACGUUGGAGGGUUUCCCAUGCUUUGGACAAUUUCGUUUUAGUCAUGGAGGCAUUAUUAUUACUUUCAUCCAACAUUAGCUUGUGUCCAUAAGACGUAGGCGUGUAAUAUUGCUGCAAAAACUUAAAUGACAUACCAAUUAGUUUCAGCAUUUUAGUUCGUGUGGUGUCCUAAAUGAGACUUAAAGUCAAUAAAUUAAAGAAGAGAUCAGAUGUGGUUGAGGGAGAAAAAGAGAGGAGAGCGUCUGGUCAGUUUUUAGUAGGAAAAUAUAAAUAUUUGCACCAAUACACAACUGGUGAUCUCUAUCCUUCAUUGCUGGAGUUAGUCUGGUAUGCAACUUUGUCAACGGUAUUUCUAUCCAAGAAGAAAUUCUUGCGGAGGAGCUAGUUUGCAGUAAUUCAAGUUACUACAACAAAAAAUACAUUCAGUGCCAAUAAAUUUUCCUUUAGCAGCAAUAGGGAUAUGGUAUGUAGCUUCAAGCUUCAACAGCAAUUGUGUUAAUGUUAUUGCAUCAAUAUUUACACAAAGUGCAUAAAAUGUAAAGUUAUAGCACAUUGACCUAACUCAAUCCAAAGUCUAACUCAUGAAUGGAGAAUUGUCUAAAUCAUAUAAGCAAAUCACCAGUCCAAUCCUUAACAAAUGUGGGGUUCUUACUCACUCUAAUACACCAUUCAGGCUCAAAGGGGAGUUCCAAAUAAGGAUAAAUUAAAGAUAUGAUACUUACAUCGAGUUGGGAACCAAAAUACCACAAAAAUAUAAAAGUAACCAAAAUAAGUCACUAUUUUAGUAAGUAACUAAAAUAAGCUUAGUGGAAUAAAAAAUUUCACUAUAUCCAAUAAUCUAAACGUUUUCCGUUAGAAUCAUAACGUUUAUUUUUAAUAUAUACCGAAACUUUUUCUUACACUUUAUAAAGUGGAGUUUUUUCUUCCACUUUAUAAAGUGGGGCGUCUUCAAAUUGUCGGAUUGGGACCAUCUUCAAAGUGAAUUUUUUUUGGGAGCCAUGAAAAGGAAAAGGAGAGAAGGUGAAGGUGAAGGUGAAAAGGUAACUUUUUAUAAAAUGGAAUAAAAAGUUCCAUUUUAUAAAGUGGAAGAAAAAGUUUCGUUACCUAUUAAAAAUAAACGUUAUGACACUAACGGACAAGUUUAGAAAAUUGAAAAUAGUGGAACUUUUUUUUCCAUUAAACUUAUUUUAGUUACUUACUAAAAUAGUGACUUAUUUUUGCUACUUUUAUAUUUUUGUGGCUUAUUUUAGUUCCCAACUCAUUAGAGAUAUACAAUAUUGACUAAUGAUGGUAAUGUCGAUGGUGAAUAUAAAUGUAAUAAGGGUUGGUGGCGAGGAUGGAAUAUGAUGUCUAAUGGUGUUGAUUUUGAUGAUCUUGAUUAGGUUGUGGAUGAUAGGUAGUGGUGGUGAUUGACGGUAGUUAUAGUUGUGCUGAAAUAGUGGUUGUAAGUGGUAGAUGAAAUUAAAGUAGAUGAAGUAGGGGUGAGUUAUCAUCUUUUUGUAAAUUCUUAAAUAGACAUUGAGAUCUUAAUUAUAUUAAGACUUGAUUAUAGAUCUUAAUCAUUCAGACGAUUACAAAUUUAGAACGCCAACACAUUUAAUAAUUAAUAUUUGAGUAAAUAACAUUUCAAACCUUGAAAACAAACAUACAUAUUAACUAAGAUUUGAAUAAUUAAGAUUAAAACUUCAUCUAGUGUUAAACAAAUGAGGCCUCGAAGGCGGCUCUAAGGAAGCUAAUUACAAUUUUUUUUGGUAAAUAAAGCUAUUAUUUGAGGCACCAAUUUUUCUAAGUCUCUCUGUCAACUAUUGUUUGUCAUGCUUUCUAUUUUUUAGAGUCAAACUUGAAAAACUUUAACUAACAUUUUAAGAUGUAUUUUUUCAUCAUAUUGAUAUGCAAAAAAUAUUCAAUUUAUAAUACUCAUAUAGAUUUUGAAUAUCUAAAUUUUUUCUUUAAAUUAUCGAAUUAAUGUAAUCUAAUUUAACUUUGAAAACCAGUCAAACUGAAUUUUAAAAUGCGCAACAUAACAAAUAAAAGUGGACGGGAGAGAGUAGUAGAUUUAUGAUUUUUAUUUUUCGUAAUUAAAAAGUAUUGAAGUUUCUGGAAAAAAGUAUAACUUUUUUUAAAAAAUUGAAAAAAAGGGAAGAAAAAGUUUGUCUUCUUCUAAUAAUUGAAAUACUUGAGAACAUAAACUUAACUACUUAAUUUUUCAUAUUAGUAAAUAAAGGUUUUAUGAUAAGAUCCAAGAUGAUAUAUCAUAAACAAAUGACUAACAUCUUAUUAUCUUGAAUCAACCCAUACAUUAUAAACAAGAAAAAAAUCUUCAAAUAUGCUAUCAAAUUUUGAAAAAAAACUCACCUAUUUCAUUCGUUAAAAGUGUAGCUCAUGUUUGUCAUUUUCAUUUGAGGAAGGGUUCAUCCAUGUAAUUAUGAGUUUAACAAAAAAUUCAUUCAGUUUUGCAGAUCCAUUGAGUCCAUGUAGUGAAUGAUGAUUUAGCCACAUCAGCAAUUUUUAUUUUUUUAAUAGAAAAUCAAUUCAAAAUUCCAAAAAAUGAGAAAGACUCAAAUUUCAAAUGAAUUUUAGAAAUUUGGCUGAUUUUAAAAAAUAAAAUUAAAAAAUUAAUUAUGUGUCAAAUCAUCACUCGGUACGUAGACAAAAUGAUUUUGUAAAAUCUAAUGGAUAUUCAAUUGACUCAUGAUGAAAUAUGUUCUUGAACUUAUAUCAGAAACUGGACUAAGUGCAGCAAAACAUAUACACCUACGGAUACUACUACAAAAUUAAUUACCACUGAAAAUAAUCAACAUCUCAAAGAAGUUACAAGUUAAGUGAUGAAAUACUAGCUAAUCAAGGUACAUAUCAAAGACUUAUAGGAAACUUCUUUAUCUAGCAGUAAUCAAAUCAGAUAUAUCAUGUAAUGUUCAAACACUCAGCAAGUUUCUACAGAUACCAAAACAGUCUCACAUGGAUGCAACACUUAGGAUAGUCAAGCAUAUAAAAGAUAAGCCAGGACAAGGGAUAUUGUUAUUAGGAAACAAGAAAAAUAUACUCACAGCUUAUUGUGAUGAGAUUUGGCUGCUUGUACCCUUUCUAGAAAGUAUAUUUCGGAAUUCACUAUCAAGCUUGGGACUCAUUGAUUUCAUGGAAAUCAAAAAAGCGCUCAACUGAAUCGGAAUAUAGAAGUCGAGCUUUCACAAUGACUAAAUUAACUUGGAUUGAGUGGAGUUCAAAU